CCCUGAAAAAAAGGUUUUUUAUUCGGCAGUUUUUCGUUUUAUUCAUAAACUCUUUAUUAAGAGGACGCAACGCUUAUUUUAGCUUGAUUCGAGAAGGUGCUUACAAAUGUUAAGAACAAAACGACCAGGCUGAAGCCAAUGAAACAUAGUCGAUCCACGGCGGUGGCCAGCAGCACCCAGUCGAACUGAAGGGC